UACGUAGGUGGCAAGCGUUAUCCGGAUUUAUUGGGCGUAAAGAGAACGCAGGCGGUCUUUUAAGUCUGAUGUGAAAGCCUUCGGCUUAACCGGAGUAGUGCAUUGGAAACUGGGAGACUUGAGUGCAGAAGAGGAGAGUGGCACUCCAUGUGUAGCGGUGAAAUGCGUAGAUAUAUGGAAGAACACCAGUGGCGAAAGCGGCUCUCUGGUCUGUAACUGACGCUGAGGUUCGAAAGCGUGGGUAGCAAACAGG
rnacentral:rRNA from 1 species